UACGUAGGGUGCUAGCGUUGUCCGGAGUUACUGGGCGUAAAGCGCACGCAGGCGGUCUGCUAAGUUUGGAGUGACAGUUGGUGGCUUAACUGCCAAAGUGCUUCGAAACCUGACAGACUUGAGGGCUUCAGAGGGACACGGAAUUCCGGGUGGAGUGGUGAAAUGCGUAGAGAUCCGGAGGAACACCAAAGGCGAAGGCAGUGUCCUGGGGAGUACCUGACGCUCAGGUGCGAAAGCCAGGGGAGCGAACGGG
rnacentral:rRNA from 1 species